UUAAGCGACUAAGCGUACACGGUGGAUGCCCUGGCAGUCAGAGGCGAUGAAGGACGUGCUAAUCUGCGAAAAGCGUCGGUAAGGUGAUAUGAACCGUUAUAACCGGCGAUGUCCGAAUGGGGAAACCCAGUGCAAUUCGUUGCACUAUCGUUAACUGAAUACAUAGGUUAACGAGGCGAACCGGGGGAACUGAAACAUCUAAGUACCCCGAGGAAAAGAAAUCAACCGAGAUUCCCCCAGUAGCGGCGAGCGAACGGGGAGCAGCCCAGAGUCUGAAUCAGCUUGUGUGUUAGUGGAACGGUCUGGAAAGUCCGACGGUACAGGGUGAUAGUCCCGUACACCAAAAUGCACAGGCUGUGAACUCGAAGAGUAGGGCGGGACACGUGGUAUCCUGUCUGAAUAUGGGGGGACCAUCCUCCAAGGCUAAAUACUCCUGACUGACCGAUAGUGAACCAGUACCGUGAGGGAAAGGCGAAAAGAACCCCGGCGAGGGGAGUGAAAAAGAACCUGAAACCGUGUACGUACAAGCAGUGGGAGCACCUUCGGGUGUGACUGCGUACCUUUUGUAUAAUGGGUCAGCGACUUAUAUUCUGUAGCAAGGUUAACCGUAUAGGGGAGCCGCAGGGAAACCGAGUCUUAACUGGGCGUUAAGUUGCAGGGUAUAGACCCGAAACCCGGUGAUCUAGCCAUGGGCAGGUUGAAGGUUGGGUAACACUAACUGGAGGACCGAACCGACUAAUGUUGAAAAAUUAGCGGAUGACUUGUGGCUGGGGGUGAAAGGCCAAUCAAACCGGGAGAUAGCUGGUUCUCCCCGAAAGCUAUUUAGGUAGCGCCUCGUGAACUCAUCUUCGGGGGUAGAGCACUGUUUCGGCUAGGGGGUCAUCCCGACUUACCAACCCGAUGCAAACUACGAAUACCGAAGAAUGUUAUCACGGGAGACACACGGCGGGUGCUAACGUCCGUCGUGAAGAGGGAAACAACCCAGACCGCCAGCUAAGGUCCCAAAGUCAUGGUUAAGUGGGAAACGAUGUGGGAAGGCACAGACAGCCAGGAUGUUGGCUUAGAAGCAGCCAUCAUUUAAAGAAAGCGUAAUAGCUCACUGGUCGAGUCGGCCUGCGCGGAAGAUGUAACGGGGCUAAACCAUGCACCGAAGCUGCGGCAGCGACACUAUGUGUUGUUGGGUAGGGGAGCGUUCUGUAAGCCUGCGAAGGUGUGCUGUGAGGCAUGCUGGAGGUAUCAGAAGUGCGAAUGCUGACAUAAGUAACGAUAAAGCGGGUGAAAAGCCCGCUCGCCGGAAGACCAAGGGUUCCUGUCCAACGUUAAUCGGGGCAGGGUGAGUCGACCCCUAAGGCGAGGCCGAAAGGCGUAGUCGAUGGGAAACAGGUUAAUAUUCCUGUACUUGGUGUUACUGCGAAGGGGGGACGGAGAAGGCUAUGUUAGCCGGGCGACGGUUGUCCCGGUUUAAGCAUGUAGGCUGNAAGUUUAAUUCUUUGAGCAUCAAACUUAAAUUGAAGAGUUUGAUCAUGGCUCAGAUUGAACGCUGGCGGCAGGCCUAACACAUGCAAGUCGAGCGGUAGCACAGAGAGCUUGCUCUCGGGUGACGAGCGGCGGACGGGUGAGUAAUGUCUGGGAAACUGCCUGAUGGAGGGGGAUAACUACUGGAAACGGUAGCUAAUACCGCAUAAUGUCGCAAGACCAAAGUGGGGGACCUUCGGGCCUCAUGCCAUCAGAUGUGCCCAGAUGGGAUUAGCUUGUAGGUGGGGUAACGGCUCACCUAGGCGACGAUCCCUAGCUGGUCUGAGAGGAUGACCAGCCACACUGGAACUGAGACACGGUCCAGACUCCUACGGGAGGCAGCAGUGGGGAAUAUUGCACAAUGGGCGCAAGCCUGAUGCAGCCAUGCCGCGUGUGUGAAGAAGGCCUUCGGGUUGUAAAGCACUUUCAGCGGGGAGGAAGGCGUUGAGGUUAAUAACCUUGUCGAUUGACGUUACCCGCAGAAGAAGCACCGGCUAACUCCGUGCCAGCAGCCGCGGUAAUACGGAGGGUGCAAGCGUUAAUCGGAAUUACUGGGCGUAAAGCGCACGCAGGCGGUCUGUCAAGUCGGAUGUGAAAUCCCCGGGCUUAACCUGGGAACUGCAUUCGAAACUGGCAGGCUAGAGUCUUGUAGAGGGGGGUAGAAUUCCAGGUGUAGCGGUGAAAUGCGUAGAGAUCUGGAGGAAUACCGGUGGCGAAGGCGGCCCCCUGGACAAAGACUGACGCUCAGGUGCGAAAGCGUGGGGAGCAAACAGGAUUAGAUACCCUGGUAGUCCACGCCGUAAACGAUGUCGAUUUGGAGGUUGUGCCCUUGAGGCGUGGCUUCCGGAGCUAACGCGUUAAAUCGACCGCCUGGGGAGUACGGCCGCAAGGUUAAAACUCAAAUGAAUUGACGGGGGCCCGCACAAGCGGUGGAGCAUGUGGUUUAAUUCGAUGCAACGCGAAGAACCUUACCUGGUCUUGACAUCCACAGAACUUUCCAGAGAUGGAUUGGUGCCUUCGGGAACUGUGAGACAGGUGCUGCAUGGCUGUCGUCAGCUCGUGUUGUGAAAUGUUGGGUUAAGUCCCGCAACGAGCGCAACCCUUAUCCUU
rnacentral:rRNA from 1 species